UUAAAGUAAAAGAACAGCUUGAAAAGACAGCACAAGCCUCCUGAGCCAAUCAGGGAAGAUAGAAGGCCUACGUACUGAAAGUGAUUAGUUAUGUACCACCAUAAACAGCAAAGACAGAGGAAGAUAAUGAUGGAUCACUCUGGAGACACCUGCAACAUCAGAACCAAAAGUAUUUCGAAUGAAGACCUAUUUGAUUGCCGAGGAAGGGGCAAGCUGGGAGAAGGGAAGUACCAGGUUCACAGGGCAGCAGGUCAGAGCAGCUGCGUCCAGUUUUUACACUUA